rnacentral:rRNA from 1 species
ACUCCUACGGGAGGCAGCAGUGGGGAAUAUUGGACAAUGGGCGCAAGCCUGAUCCAGCCAUGCCGCGUGGGUGAAGAAGGCCUUAGGGUUGUAAACCCCUUUCAGCGGGGACGAUAAUGACGGUACCCGCAGAAGAAGCCCCGGCUAACUUCGUGCCAGCAGCCGCGGUAAUACGAAGGGGGCUAGCGUUGCUCGGAAUCACUGGGCGUAAAGCGCACGUAGGCGGACUCUUAAGUCGGUGGUGAAAUCCUGGAGCUCAACUCCAGAACUGCCUUCGAUACUGGGAGUCUCGAGUCCGAGAGAGGUGAGUGGAACUGCGAGUGUAGCGGUGAAAUGCGUAGAGAUC